rnacentral:lncRNA from 1 species
AUGUGUACAACUCUUUAUUCAUUUCCGGGUCAAAAUGUUCCAAGGUACUAGUGGACCCUUGUUAGUUACAUCCACCAUAUCAUAUAAUGGAGGAAUGAAAAACCUAUGUUUAAUUGUUUACAAAUGAAUUCAUCUAGAUUGCAAGAUACGUCCUUUGCAUACAAAGUGUUUUCUUGGUUGAGAGGAAAUUACGGCGUGCUACUUCUUUUCAACUCUUUGCUCUCCAUUUUCUGCCUCCUCUUUUUUUGGAUGCUUGGGUAUGAUCUAUUCACAAGCAUUCAGCAGAUCUGGUUGGAAGUUCAUAGCCAUCUCCAGUUGUUAGAUUGCACCUCUGCCC